GACGAGUCCCAAAUAGGACGAAACGCGCGUCCUGGAU
rnacentral:hammerhead_ribozyme from 1 species